rnacentral:rRNA from 1 species
UGGCUCAGGACGAACGCUGGCGGCGUGCCUAAUACAUGCAAGUCGAACGAAGCUUUCUUUCACCGAAUGCUUGCAUUCACCGAAAGAAGCUUAGUGGCGAACGGGUGAGUAACACGUAGGCAACCUGCCCAAAAGAGGGGGAUAACACUUGGAAACAGGUGCUAAUACCGCAUAACCAUGAACACCGCAUGAUGUUCAUGUAAAAGACGGCUUUUGCUGUCACUUUUGGAUGGGCCUGCGGCGUAUUAACUUGUUGGUGGGGUAACGGCCUACCAAGGUGAUGAUACGUAGCCGAACUGAGAGGUUGAUCGGCCACAUUGGGACUGAGACACGGCCCAAACUCCUACGGGAGGCAGCAGUAGGGAAUCUUCCACAAUGGACGAAAGUCUGAUGGAGCAACGCCGCGUGAAUGAAGAAGGCCUUCGGGUCGUAAAAUUCUGUUGUCAGAGAAGAACGUGCGUGAGAGUAACUGUUCACGUAUUGACGGUAUCUGACCAGAAAGCCACGGCUAACUACGUGCCAGCAGCCGCGGUAAUACGUAGGUGGCGAGCGUUGUCCGGAUUUAUUGGGCGUAAAGGGAACGCAGGCGGUCUUUUAAGUCUGAUGUGAAAGCCUUCGGCUUAACCGAAGUAGUGCAUUGGAAACUGGAAGACUUGAGUGCAGAAGAGGAGAGUGGAACUCCAUGUGUAGCGGUGAAAUGCGUAGAUAUAUGGAAGAACACCAGUGGCGAAAGCGGCUCUCUGGUCUGUAACUGACGCUGAGGUUCGAAAGCGUGGGUAGCAAACAGGAUUAGAUACCCUGGUAGUCCACGCCGUAAACGAUGAGUGCUAGGUGUUGGAGGGUUUCCGCCCUUCAGUGCUGCAGCUAACGCAUUAAGCACUCCGCCUGGGGAGUACGGUCGCAAGACUGAAACUCAAAGGAAUUGACGGGGGCCCGCACAAGCGGUGGAGCAUGUGGUUUAAUUCGAAGCAACGCGAAGAACCUUACCAGGUCUUGACAUCUUCUGACAAUUCCAGAGAUGGAACGUUCCCUUCGGGGACAGAAUGACAGGUGGUGCAUGGUUGUCGUCAGCUCGUGUCGUGAGAU